GACGAAAUAGUUUAGAUAUAAAAAUAAUAGAUUGUGGUUCUGUAGACAGAGAAUUACUUUUCGUUA
rnacentral:tRNA from 1 species